UCAAGUUACUAAGGGUGCAUGGUGGAUGCCUAGGCGCCAGGAGGUGAUGAAGGACGUGGCAGCCUGCGAAAAGCCCAGGGGAGUCGGCAAACAGACUUUGAUCCUGGGAUCUCCGAAUGGGGAAACCCGGCGUCACUCCGCAAGGAGAUGGCGUCACCCCCGGAUGAAUGCAUAGUCCGGGUGGAAUCAACCCGGUGAACUGAAACAUCUCAGUAGCCGGAGGAAAAGAAAUCAACCGAGACUCCGUCAGUAGCGGCGAGCGAAAGCGGAAUAGCCCAAACCGGGCUUCGGCCCGGGGUUGCGGGCGGGCAGCUCGGUCCUUGAUGAGCUAGCAGAACGGUCUGGAAAGGCCGGCCAAAGAGGGUGACAGCCCCGUACGCGGAACUCGUUGUGGACCUUGCCCGUUCCAGAGUAGCACGGAACACGUGGAACUCCGUGUGAAGCUGGGUGGACCAUCAUCCAAGGCUAAGUACUCCCUGGCGACCGAUAGUGAACUAGUAGGGCGAUUGAAAGGUGAAAAGCACCCCUUCUAGGGGAGUGAAAAGUACCUGAAACCAUGCACUUACAAGCGGUGGGAGCCCUAUGCCCCUCGUGGGAAUGGGUGACCGCGUGCCUUUUGCAUAAUGAGCCGGCGAGUUAUUGUCAGCGGCAAGGCUAACCACUUCAGGUGGGCAGCCCCAGCGAAAGCGAGUCUGAAUAGGGCGCUAAGUCGUUGGCGAUAGACCCGAAACCAAGUGAUCUACCCAUGGCCAGGGUGAACCUGCCGUAACAGGCGGGGAAGGCCCGAACCCGUUAACGUUGAAAAGUUAUGGGAUGAGCUGUGGGGAGGAGUGAAAGUCUAAUCAAACUUGGAGAUAUCUGGUUCUCCCCGAAAUGACUUUAGGGUCAGCCUCGGACCACUACGCUACGGGGGUAGAGCUACUGAAUGGAGACGGGGGCCCACCAGGCUACCCGCUCCAAUCAAACUCCGAAUACCGUAGCGACUAUUCCGGGAGUGAGCCUACGGGCGAUAACGUCCGUGGACGAGAGGGAAACAUCCCAGACCGCCAGCUAAGGUCCCUAAUACCUGCUAAGUGCUUAAGGAAGUCCGAUUUCCGAGACAGUCAGGAUGUUGGCUUAGAAGCAGCCACCAUUUAAAAAGUGCGUAAUAGCUUACUGACCGAGAUAUCGGGCGCCGAAAAUGAUCGGGACUCAAGCAGGUAACCGAAGCUGCGGGCUUGUAUGGUUCGUCGAACCGUAUGAGCGGUAGGGGAGCGUUGCUGGACAGAUACAAGCGGUACCGUAAGGAGCCGUGUCGGGUCCAGCAAGUGAGAAUGCCGGUAUGAGUAACGAUAAACCAGGUGAUGAAUCCUGGUCGCCGCAAGCCUAAGGUUUCCUGGGGAAGGCAAAUCCGCCCAGGGUUAGUCGGAUCCUAAGGCGAGGCCGAAAGGCGUAGCCGAUGGGCAGCAGGUUAAUAUUCCUGCACUCCGUAUGGAAGGCUUGUACCUGAGGGGUGACGCGGGUGUGAAAGCUGGAAGCCGGUUAGAAGUGGCUAUUGGGGCUCUGGUCCCGGUCGGUAGGCAAAUCCGCCGGCCAUCAAGGGACUGGUGCACCGCGAGGGCCGUUUGAUGCCCGAGCAGCUGAAUCACCCGCCGAGAAAACCCUCGCAGGGACAACCAUGCGGAUCCGUACCGCAAACUGACACAGGUAGGCGAGGCGCGUAGCCUCAGGCGCUCGAGAGAACCGUCCUCAAGGAACUAGGCAAUUUUACCCCGUAACUUCGGAAGAAGGGGUCCCUACAGCUCCGACAGAUUAACCUUUGUCGGAGGCUGAGGGCGCAGCGAAUCGGGUCUGCCGACUGUUUAUCAAAAACACAGGACUCUGCAUAAGUCGUAUAGACGACGUAUAGGGUCUGACGCCUGCCCGGUGCGGGAAUGUUAAGGAAGCCGGUUAUUGGCCUUCGGGCUGAGAAGCUGGCGACCGAAGCACCCGUAAACGGCGGCCGUAACUAUGACGGUCCUAAGGUAGCGAAGUUCCUUGUCGGGUAAGUUCCGACCUGCAUGAAUGG
rnacentral:rRNA from 1 species